rnacentral:rRNA from 1 species
GGACCCGCACAAGUAGUGGAGCAUGUGGUUUAAUUCGAAGAUACGCGCAGAACCUUACCAACACUUGACAUGUUCGUCGCGACUUUAAGAGAUUAAAGUUUUCGGUUCGGCCGGACGAAACACAGGUGCUGCAUGGCUGUCGUCAGCUCGUGUCGUGAGAUGUUGGGUUAAGUCCCGCAACGAGCGCAACCCUCACUUUUAGUUGCCAUCAUUUAGUUGGGCACUCUGAAAGAACUGCCAGUGAUAAGCUGGAGGAAGGUGGGGAUGACGUCAAGUCCUCAUGGCCCUUACGUGUUGGGCUACACACGUGCUACAAUGGUAUCUACAACAGGAAGCAAGACUGCGAAGUUAAGCAAAUCCUUAAAAGAUAUCUCAGUUCGGAUUGCACUCUGCAACUCGAGUGCAUGAAGCUGGAAUUACUAG